CUUGAAGAAGAACCACGGAGAAGCACUGCUUGCUGUCUUCCUUACUUGCUGCUCACAGCCCCAGGCUUAGGCACUAUUCCUACACAGCUGUGACACACCUGACCAGGGAUGGUGCCAUAGUCCCACUCAUAGUUGGAUAGGCCAUCACACAUCGAUUAGUAAUCUAAACAAUCCCCACAGACAUGACCACAGACCAGUCUCAUCUAGGAAAUCCUUCAGUUGAAGCUUCUGCUUUCAAAUGAUGCUAGACUGUAUCAACAUAACAAGCAUCUGGACACUCUGGAAGAGUGUUACAAAUAAAAAAGAAAAAAAUUGAACCAUGUAACAGUAGAAGAAAAUUUAUUGUAUUUUCCUAUAUGUCCUCAUCCCCCAUACAUCCUCAUACAUAUGAAGAGGUUGAUCUGGCAAUGGGGUACACACUACACUGUGGUCUAUGCUGACUGCCAGGGACAAAAAAGUGGGUAGAAUUUAUAUUAACCUCCAAAUCCAGUGAGGUUAGAUAUAAAUUAGUGCUUUUAACUAAUUUCUUUAAAAGCUGUUUAGGGAAAUGAACACAAAAAGAUGAACAGUAUGGUUGGCUUAGAAUAUGAGGAUUCUUGGUAGGUUUCAGUUUUUUUGGUUGCUUCUGUUCUAUAACACAAUGAAUAAUGAUUACUCUGCUACACAACUGAGGAUUCAUCUGUUAUCCAUAUCCACACAGAGCCAUUUCAAGUGGAGAGAAACUGGCCACUAGAUCUCUACUUGAUGUACCUCAAGUAGAGAAGGAUUCUUUGUGUUCCAGUGACUGACACACAAGCAACACUUUGUUUAGCAAGUCAACCUGAAACCAGAAGUGUCUUUGAAAGUUCACUGGUCUGUGAAUAACGGUGCUACUCACAAUCGCAGUGAGUGCAGCGCAUGUGAGGAACCUGCAGGUAAUGGGCUGUUGUCGACUCAGCAACAGAAGCACUGUGAACCACAAAUGCGACUCUAAAUAAUCCAGGAGACGUAUUUAAAAUUGCAAAUUAAAAAAGUGAAUUUCAAUAGUAAAAUGUUCAAUCCAAGGCAGUGAUUAACACAGAGACUUACAACUGCUAAAGAUGCAGAUAAACAGAGCCAGUUUCUUGAUCAGCAUUAAAGGGGACAUCUAUAUCAUGCAUCCUCUCUCCAAGGAUCAAGAAUUAUUGUUGAAGAGGCACUGGAAAAAUGCCCCCAAAGGUAUUGAACUCACUAUGUAGCUGAAGGAGUAAGAUGACCACAAACUCACAUGCUGGGAUUAUGACAUUACAGGAGAUAAUUACCAACAGACAAUAACUAAAACCUGCAUGACGGCAAGAAGGAAACCUGCAGAGAGGUGGCCAGCAGUGGGAAUCCUGAAGGAGCAGCGGUGAAUCCAAUAGGAUUACUCUG